ACAGGAUUAGGAAGAUUGAGCGCCACCGCCAUACACACUCAUACACACUCAUACACAAUCAUCUCCCUCAUGUAGGACUCCUUAGAGCAUACUCCAAGAUACCCCAUACUCCUGCACCCUUUUCUAGUGAUGGUGUCUUUAGCCAUCAUUACACUGCAGAGUCCUUAAACUUUUGUCCCAUGUCUGUCCUUCAAACUUAGGAGUGAAGGUCAGGGUGUGGUAGAAACUCACAGCACUAAAAGCAAAUAGAAGAGACUAGCACAAACCUCCCAGACUUCCACCGAUAAGGCUGAGAGGCAGGCCCAGUGAGGGUGCACAAGCUGCUGGUUUGCACAAGGUGCAAUCCAAGCACAAAGGCCAAAGAGCUGAGGUCUGCAGAGUAAGCAUUAGGCUUUCCAGAGGAGACAGAUACUUCCCCCAAUGUAGAGGCUGUUCCCAGCAGGCGGCACACUGGGUUAAAGGUGACGAGGGUCUUAAUCAGGAAGACUAGCAGGCACAGGAACUAAACCAUUUCCACGAGGCUGGAUGGUUCUCUGAACGGCAAGGGGACAAACUCCAAAAAGAGUCAGUUUUUAGGCGCAGAGCACACAGGAACUCUGAACUCUCUGGUCUGAGAGACUGGUGUCCUCAAUCCAUGGCAAAAUAAAAAUGAAGGGCUAUUUAACCACUGACCACUCUUGGCGGGGAAUCCUCCCAGGGGCCUGGCAGAUAAGCCUUUCAGUGACUGGGAAGGCAGACAGGGCUCCCCUGUGAUCUCAAGAAGGUCACUGAGGGUCUGGGAAGGCGCACCAAUAGCAACACAGUGUCUCCUCUUGUUUCUCCCACCGGCCACCCCCAUCCUCUUGAGCAUCAAUAUUUAGUUCACAUUUGCAACACAUUUGCAGCAUUUGCUCCAGAUUCCUCCAGCACAAAGGCUCGCAAACUAGAGCUCUGUUGCUGUGCUUUCAAAAUGGUGCAUCUCUGUCUCUAGAUGGCUCAAGGUUUUGAAAUGCCUCCCCAUCCUCAUGAUUAAUGCUAUGCAUACAGCACAACAGCAGAGUGGAGAAUUGCAGCCGGUGCCAGUUCACCUACAGGCAUUUAUCUUUCUGUUCCCCCUGGUGCCCGCACGGAGCCUGAGGAAAGCCUGCUGCUACAGAGAGGCGCCACAAAGACUAGAAGCACUGUUUCUGACUCAGGACUCUUGAGCAAAAUGGGCUCCCCUGUGGUUUUCCAACCUUUAUUCUACUUCUGUGAGAUGGCCCGCCCAGCUGCAUCUCCUCCUCUCAAAAUGUGGGGCAUGCACACGACCUGGUAUCGAAGAUCAGACAGGUUGGAUAAAUAAAACGAAUUUUGUAUGUGUC
rnacentral:sRNA from 1 species